GAAUGAGUUACGGUAAUUGCUGGGAAAAUACGGGAAAACACAAAAAUUGUUUUUUUUAAAAAGGGAAUUUUUAAAUGUUCAUACUUUUAUUAUUUUCAUUCUAAUUUUUCAAGUCAAAGUUCCCGCUUCCAUCUUACACAAAAAAAAAAUAAGAGAAAACUCAAAAAUGAUUCCAAGUAAACAUAAAUUCCUAUUUUUCACUUUCAUCCCUAGAGGGUUACACUAUCAUUUUCAUGAUGUUUAUUUAUUGGUAGUUACCGUCUUACAUAUGGACAUGAUGCCAUUAAGGUUCACUUCCGUGCUUCCUACUAGACUAGGGCCAUCUCUGGUAGCGUCUCUGUUGCUAGAUCCACCC
rnacentral:lncRNA from 1 species